ACUCUUCGAAAAGAGUAUUAUACUGACUUGGGGUACCAUCCGAACAACGGUAACAGUGUAUCGUCUCUAUCUCCUUCUGCGUAUAUCUGUGUGCGUGUUGUUUUCCCUUCCACAUUCAUCAACGAUUCCACUUUGGUUCAAUCACUGAAUUGAGAUGGUAUGUAUAUUGUUUUAUGUAUAUGGAUGAGUACAGGCGUAUCGUUGUAUGAGUGUAGUUUAUGUUCGAUAUGAUUCGAAAUAACAAGUAAACAAUGCACUGUGGAAUAAAGAAUGAAAAAGAAAAAAAAGUGUUGUGCGUGUGUUCAUACAGAGUAAUAUACAUUCGCAUUCAACGCGCUGUCAUUCACAAACCUCUCGGAUAACUUGAACGAAAACUAACGAGAAUACAAAAAAAUAUAACAUCAACAUCAAACACACACUGUGAAAAGUUUAUAUCGAAAAUUUAUCAAUCAAUUGAAUAAAUACUAAAACAAUGAAUAAUAUCAUUUGCAUCAACUUUGUUGUCAUUGUAUUUUUUUUAAGUACAAGUAAAAGUGAACAUGCCUACUUCAAUCCUUACAAUUGUACAAAUGUACCCCGGGGUCUUGUUUAUGUUUGUGGUACUGAUGGUAAGACCUAUGACAACAGAUUCUUUUUGAGGUGUGCUCAACAUGAAGAGUACGGACAAAGAAUAAAUUUACAAGAAAGCCAUGCUUGGAUAUGUUUUAUAUGGGAAGAAUACGGUAUCUCAACCUCCACACUUUUACUUAUUAUACUUGCUCUGGUUAUACUUGCUGUUUGCUUGUGCAUUUAUCGAAAGAAACGAACCAGUCGAAAAAAAGAAGAAUCAAACCGAAAUGUUGAUUUAGAACAGAUUAAUGUCAAUGCUGAAUUAAAUGUAUAAGAACAAAACCAUCCACGCCAUUCUGAACCUCACUUGGGUUGGAAAAAACAUGAUUUAAAUGCUGAAUAUAAGUACCACACUGGUCGACCAAUUGCGCAUACAGAGAGAGAAAUCCAGAUGUUGCUCAAUCAAAUGAACUAUGUUCAUGAAAUAUCACCCAACUGGUAUAUUUCAACAUCACCAAAAUCCCAGUUGCAUCGCCAGUAAAGUUAAACUAUUUCCGAUUUGCUGAUUGUUUGUAAAAAGCAUGAAUGUGUGUGUACGCGUGUGAAAUUAUCAAUAAUAAAAAUUUAAUCUCAACUGGAAACUCAAAAAAA